CCGUCUCAGAGCCUGGAGCAGGGGGGCAGGAGGGGCUCAGGGAGAAAGUGUGUAUAGCCCCUGGCCCUCUCUGCCCUUCCGCCCCCUGUUCUCACAGU
rnacentral:miRNA from 1 species